CUACGGGUCGCUCCAGUGAGGAAUAUUGCACAAUGGGGGGAACCCUGAUGCAGCAACGCCGCGUGGAGGAUGACGCAUUUCGGUGUGUAAACUCCUUUUAUAUGUCAAGAAAAUGACGUAGCAUAUGAAUAAGCACCGGCUAACUCCGUGCCAGCAGCCGCGGUAAUACGGAGGGUGCAAGCGUUACUCGGAAUCACUGGGCGUAAAGGACGCGUAGGCGGGCUUGUAAGUCAGGUGUGAAAUCCUACAGCUUAACUGUAGAACUGCACUUGAAACUACGAGCCUAGAGUAUGGGAGGGGGAGAUGGAAUUAGUGGUGUAGGGGUAAAAUCCGUAGAUAUCACUAGGAAUACCUAAAGCGAAGGCGAUCUCCUGGAACAUAACUGACGCUAAGGCGUGAAAGCGUGGGGAGCAAACAGGAUUAGAUACCCUAGUAGUC
rnacentral:rRNA from 1 species